UGCAGUCGAACGGCAGCACAGCAGUAGCAAUACUGUGGGUGGCGAGUGGCGGACGGGUGAGUAAUGCAUCGGGAUCUACCCAAACGUGGGGGAUAACGUAGGGAAACUUACGCUAAUACCGCAUACGUCCUAAGGGAGAAAGCGGGGGACCGAAAGGCCUCGCGCGGUUGGACGAACCGAUGUGCGAUUAGCUAGUUGGUAGGGUAAUGGCCUACCAAGGCGACGAUCGCUAGCUGGUCUGAGAGGAUGAUCAGCCACACUGGAACUGAGACACGGUCCAGACUCCUACGGGAGGCAGCAGUGGGGAAUAUUGGACAAUGGGCGCAAGCCUGAUCCAGCAAUGCCGCGUGUGUGAAGAAGGCCUUCGGGUUGUAAAGCACUUUUAUCAGGAGCGAAAUACUACUGGCUAAUAACCGGUGGGGCUGACGGUACCUGAGGAAUAAGCACCGGCUAACUUCGUGCCAGCAGCCGCGGUAAUACGAAGGGUGCAAGCGUUAAUCGGAAUUACUGGGCGUAAAGCGUGCGUAGGCGGUGAGUUAAGUCUGUUGUGAAAUCCCCGGGCUCAACCUGGGAAUGGCAAUGGAUACUGGCUCGCUAGAGUGUGAUAGAGGAUGGUGGAAUUCCCGGUGUAGCGGUGAAAUGCGUAGAGAUCGGGAGGAACAUCAGUGGCGAAGGCGGCCAUCUGGAUCAACACUGACGCUGAGGCACGAAAGCGUGGGGAGCAAACAGGAUUAGAUACCCCUGGUAGUCCACGCCCUAAACGAUGCGAACUGGGAUGUUGGUCUCAACUCCGGAGAUCAAUUGUCGAAGCUAACGCCGUUAAGUUCGCCGGCCUGGGGGAGUACGGGCCGCAAGACUGAAACUCAAAAGGAAUUUGACGGGGGGCCCGCACAAACGGGGGGAGAAAAGGGGGGUUUAAAUUCCAAUG
rnacentral:rRNA from 1 species